UACAUAGGGGGCGAGCGUUGUCCGGAGUUACUGGGCGUAAAGCGUGCGCAGGCGGUUCGUUGUGUCUGUGGUGAAAGCCCCGGGCUUAACCUGGGAAUGGCCAUGGAAACUGGCGAGCUGGAGUGUGGCAGAGGGGGGUGGAAUUCCGCGUGUAGCAGUGAAAUGCGUAGAGAUGCGGAGGAACACCGAUGGCGAAGGCAGCCCCCUGGGCUGACACUGACGCUCAGGCACGAAAGCGUGGGGAGCAAACAGG
rnacentral:rRNA from 1 species